rnacentral:rRNA from 1 species
CAGCCGCCACGGGAAUACGUAGGGCGCAAGCGUUGUCCGGAAUUAUUGGGCGUAAAGAGCUCGUAGGCGGUCUGUCGCGUCUGGUGUGAAAUCCCGAGGCUCAACCUCGGGCUUGCAUCGGGUACGGGCAGACUAGAGUGCGGUAGGGGAGACUGGAAUUCCUGGUGUAGCGGUGGAAUGCGCAGAUAUCAGGAGGAACACCGAUGGCGAAGGCAGGUCUCUGGGCCGCAACUGACGCUGAGGAGCGAAAGCAUGGGGAGCGAACAGGAUUAGAUACCCCCGUAGUCCCUGUCUCUUAUAA